rnacentral:SRP_RNA from 1 species
ACCCCGGACUGCCGCGACCCCAGCCAGUGGCCCGACGGCGAGGUCAGCUCGACGUGGUACGCCACGGUGUCCGACAAGGCGGAAGACAUGCGCGAGGCAGGCUUCACCGA